rnacentral:rRNA from 1 species
GUGAACGCUGGCGGUAGGCCUAACACAUGCAAGUCGAACGGCAGCACAGAGGAGCUUGCUCCUUGGGUGGCGAGUGGCGGACGGGUGAGGAAUACAUCGGAAUCUACUUUUUCGUGGGGGAUAACGUAGGGAAACUUACGCUAAUACCGCAUACGACCUCCGGGUGAAAGCAGGGGACCUUCGGGCCUUGCGCGAUUGAAUGAGCCGAUGUCGGAUUAGCUAGUUGGCGGGGUAAAAGCCCACCAAGGCGACGAUCCGUAGCUGGUCUGAGAGGAUGAUCAGCCACACUUGAACUGAGACACGGUCCAGACUCCUACGGGAGGCAGCAGUGGGGAAUAUUGGACAAUGGGCGCAAGCCUGAUCCAGCCAUACCGCGUGGGUGAAGAAGGCCUUCGGGUUGUAAAGCCCUUUUGUUGGGAAAGAAAAGCACUCGGUUAAUACCCAAGUGUUCUGACGGUACCCAAAGAAUAAGCACCGGCUAACUUCGUGCCAGCCGCCGCGGUAA